rnacentral:rRNA from 1 species
AGUGAACGCUGGCGGUAGGCCUAACACAUGCAAGUCGAACGGCAGCACAGUAAGAGCUUGCUCUUACGGGUGGCGAGUGGCGGACGGGUGAGGAAUACAUCGGAAUCUACUUUUUCGUGGGGGAUAACGUAGGGAAACUUACGCUAAUACCGCAUACGACCUACGGGUGAAAGCAGGGGAUCUUCGGACCUUGCGCGAGUGAAUGAGCCGAUGUCGGAUUAGCUAGUUGGCGGGGUAAAGGCCCACCAAGGCGACGAUCCGUAGCUGGUCUGAGAGGAUGAUCAGCCACACUGGAACUGAGACACGGUCCAGACUCCUACGGGAGGCGGCAGUGGGGAAUAUUGGACAAUGGGCGCAAGCCUGAUCCAGCCAUACCGCGUGGGUGAAGAAGGCCUUCGGGUUGUAAAGCCCUUUUGUUGGGAAAGAAAAGCAGCAGGUUAAUACCCCGCUGUUCUGACGGUACCCAAAGAAUAAGCACCGGCUAACUUCGUG